GGACUACGCGGGUAUCUAAUCCGGUUCGCUCCCCCAGCUUUCAUCCCUCACCGUCGGGCGCGUUCUAGCAGACAGCCUUCGCCACUGGUGGUCUUCCCGGGAUUAUAGGAUUUCACCCCUACCCCGAAAAUACCGUCUGCCUCUCUCGUCCCCUAGCCAAGCAGUAUCCCCCGCGAUCCAACGAUUAAUUCGGUGGAUUUAACAAGGGACUGACCUAGCCAGCUACGGAUGCUUUAGGCCCAAUAAACAUCCACACCACUCGAAGAGCUGGUAUUACCGCGGCGGCUGACACCAGACUUGCCCUCUCCUUAUUCCCCCAGCUUUCUAGACUGGGUAAAAGCCUUCCUCAGCGGAUGGCACUCGGGAUAGCCCUGUCAAGCUUUCGCUUAUUGCAAAGGUUUCGCGCCUGCUGCCCCCCAUAGG
rnacentral:rRNA from 1 species